GUCAACAAUAACAAGCACUUUCCAGAAUAAAUUAAAGAGUGGCUCCUGGAAUGUGCUCUCCAAGAGUCUGCUGUAGAUGGAGAAGAGGAUUGGCUAGGAGGGAGCCCUUGAGCCGGAGAAGCUGAAGAUGCGGAUACAGCUGCUGGGAAGGUGUGACAGUCUCCUGGACCUUGUCUAAGGUUGUGCAGUCAGAGGCUAAACAGGUUGCUAGCCUACUUAGAGAAUCCUGAAGGGGCCUAAGCACUUCCUCGCUGCUUCUAUUUCAGGGGGCCUAGGAGCGUCAUGGAGCGGGAGGCUGUCUUUACAGACGAGUGUGUGAAGACUGUAAAACCGUGGCAUCCUCUCUCUCAUGACCCUCAGGUGAUGCUUCUGUGGCAAAAUAGAGGCUGACUUUGCCCAAGGUUGAGGACCCCUUUACCCCCUUGGUUUUGCAACUAAUUUCUUUUUCCUCCUUAAAAGAGAAAAAAAACAAUCUACAGAUUUCCUACUAAUCUUUGACACAAGCUAGCUUUUAAAAACUCAAGCUAGCAAAGCAUUGCAGUGAAAUGUAAAUAAACAUUUUCUAUACUUCUGGCAAGGCA